rnacentral:rRNA from 1 species
GUGCCAGCCGCCGCGGUAAUACGUAGGGGGCAAGCGUUGUCCGGAAUCAUUGGGCGUAAAGCGCGCGUAGGCGGCCCGAUAAGUCUGCUGUAAAAGUCAACGGCUCAACCGUUGAAAGCCGGUGGAUACUGUCGGGCUAGAGUUCGGAAGAGGCAAGUGGAAUUCCUGGUGUAGCGGUGGAAUGCGCAGAUAUCAGGAGGAACACCUAUAGCGAAGGCAGCUUGCUGGGACGAAACUGACGCUAAGGCGCGAAAGCGUGGGGAGCGAACAGGAUUAGAUACCCUUGUAGUCC